rnacentral:ncRNA from 2 species
AAAAUCCUUCAGGGCAGGGUGAAAUUCCCGACCGGCGGUUAUAGUCCGCGAGCCGAUUUUGGCAGACUUGGUGUAAUUCCAAGACCGACAGUACAGUCUGGAUGGAAGAAGGAGAAG